AACGCGAAGAACCUUACCCAGGUUUGAAAUUCAGGAGACAAUACCAGAAAUGGUACUUCCCGCAAGGGCUGCUGAGUAGGUGCUGCAUGGCUGUCGUCAGCUCGUGCCGUGAGGUGUUGGGUUAAGUCCCGCAACGAGCGCAACCCUUAUCAUUAGUUGCCAACAUUUUAGGUGGGGACUCUAAUGAGACUGCCUGGGUUAACCAGGAGGAAGGUGAGGAUGACGUCAAGUCCGCAUGGCCUUUAUGUCUGGGGCUACACACGUGCUACAAUGGUCGGUACAGAAGGCAGCUAAGCCGCAAGGUAGAGCAAAUCCGUAAAGCCGAUCUCAGUUCAGAUUGUGGUCUGCAACUCGACCACAUGAAGUUGGAAUUGCUAGUAAUGACGGAUCAGCAACGCCGUCGUGAAUACGUUCCCGGGCCUUGUA
rnacentral:rRNA from 1 species